UUGAGAAGCUGAUUUUUGUGGGUGGGAGCUGGAUAUAGAAAUAGUUCAUGCCUAUCAGCUGGUAUGUGGUUCUGAGGCUCUGUUCAGACACAAAAAUUGGAACUCUCUUGGGCCAUAUUAAUCAAACCUUAUGGGUGACGCAAGUCCACGAGGGUCAGGUAUUCUUUUUUCUUGCUUAUGUAUCCCAAGUUGUUCAUCAAGGUUCUUGGAGGUUGCCUAGGGGACGUCACAUGAUCCUUUCGCUCUUGAAAGCAUGAUUUCCUUUAUACCUAUUGGGAGAACUGGAGAUGGACGGUCGAGAUGAUUGUCCAAGACUAUGAAA